GCUUCCGACGGCCGUGACCCCGUGUGGGUGGGACACUGGCACGUAGUUCCUGUCUGGGGGCAGCUCUACUGUUUUCACCAGCUGUGGUGCAGGGGGCAGGAUGCGGGAAAGAAAACAGGGAAGGCAGGACCCCAGCUGAAAGGGCUUCCCUCCCCACCAAGAGACGUGAGAGUUCACGAUGGGGUCAAAGGAGCAAGGGUCCACUCUGGAACACCAUCCCCCCCCCCCUGCACCGGACCCUGAACUUAAGCAGCCAGAGGUGGAUUCUUUACCAUCUGAGACAUCCUGGAAGCCCAAGAAUACUGAAGUGGUAGCCUAUCCCUUCUCCAGCGGAUCUUCCGGACCCAAGAAUCGAACUAGACUCUCCUGCAUUGCCAGUGGUUACCAGCUGAAGAAAUGAAAGUUGCUCAGUUGUGUCCGACCAUUUGUGAUCCCAUGGACUUUACUGUAACCAGCCAGGCUCCUCUGUCCAUGGGAUUCUCCAGGCAAGAAUACUGGAGUGGGUUGCUACACCCUUCAACAGAGGAUCUGCCUGAUCCAGGGAUUGAACCUGGGUCUCCUGCCUCCCAGUUGGAUUCUUUAUGGCUGAGCCACCAGGGAAACCUUUAACACCUGAGUUACCAGGGAAUUCCUACCCUCAGAUGCAGAUUCAAAUGUUGAUUGCUAACCCAACUGAACAUUUCUAGAUACCAACGUUAAGUGAAUGUAGAACUUGUCACCUGAGAAGGAUCCAGAUAAUUCAUGAAACUGCUAAGAGUUUUCACUUGGACAAGAGAAAAUCCUUCCACUGAAUAAAAUGUCUAGCAUGGUGGAGAGCAAA